rnacentral:tRNA from 1 species
GCGGGAGUAGUUCAGAGGCAGAACGUCAGCUUCCCAAGCUGAAUGUCGCGGGUUCGAUUCCCGCCUCCCGCUCCA